GGAAAAGCUGAGGCUCUGGAGUGAGAUCAACCUGGGACUGAGCCUGGCAUCUUCAAAAUGAGUACAGCUGCCUCGCCACGUGACUACUUUGUGGGCGGUGGAUCCCAGUCAUUCAGUCGUGCAGUUUUUAAAAAUACUUUGGGCUGCGGUGGUGGCAGUGGAAUCUGGCUUCUCAGUGUGCCCCAGGCUUCUGGCCCCAGCAACUUUCCUAGAAGCUGACCUGUGGACGGGGCUUCCUGAGUCCUUGCUUUCCCCAGGGCCUCUCGGGGCCAGCAGGGGACGCGGGUCCAAUCCCUGGUCAAGGAAUUAAGAUUCUGCCUGCCAUGGAACAACGAAGCCCCUGGACCGCAACCACUGAGGCUGCACGCCACAGCUAGAGAAUCCACACCCUGCAGCAAAAGAUCCGCAAGACAUAAUGAAAAUAAUGAAGAUCCCACAUGCCACAACUAAGACAUGAUGCAGCCUAAUAAAUAAAUAUUUUAAAAAUUUACAGAUAUUAAUGUCCUACUGUAUAGCACAGGGAACUAUAUUCAAUAUCCUUGGAUCAAUCAUAAAGGAAAAGAAUAGGAAAAAGAAUGUAUGUAUAUGUAUAACUGAAUCACUCUGCUGUAUAGAAAAAUUAAUAAAACACUGUAGAUCAGCUAUACUUCAAUAAAAAAAAAUAACAGAUAUCAGAGCUCAUGGGAAGCCCAGCUGAUACAGAAAAGCUCACCUUUAUGGAAGAAUCUCAGCUCAUAAAUGCAGAAAGAAUGAUAGAAAUAGCAAUAUACCAUUCUGUGACUCUAACAGAAUAGGCAAGAAUCAAAACAAGUAGGUGAAAAGGAUGACAGGAAAAUGUGUCAUCUGCACACUGCCAAAGAAUCAUCUUACAAAGCAAAUGAUCACUGCAAAGCGAAGGAUGCAACUUAUCAUUGCAGAGAUCUCGUAGCAUGACCUUAACCGCAUGGUCAGACUUAGCAUCACCAAUCACGAGACAGUCUGACAAUGGGUGCCUUGUGAUGCUGUAUGAGGCACCCAGUAUCACCUCUCAAGUGUUCUUGACAAAAUGUGUAAUCUGAACCUCAUCAAGCUGUGUGACCUAACUUCUAGUUUAUAGGACAUUCAGAUAACAGAAGUUAAACACCACCAUGAGGAAACAAUCAGGUAAAUCCAGAAUGUGAGACAGUUCCAUAAAACAACCAGUCUGUGCCUUCAAAAGAUCCAAAUAUGGGUGGGGAAAAAAGCAGUGGGGCUGUUCUAACUUAAAGAGAUUAAAGAACAUCAAAGAAAAUAAAAUACCAGGAAUAAAUUUAACCAAGGAGGUGAAAGACCUAUACAUUACUGAUGAAAGAAACUGAAGAUGACACAAAUAAAUAACACCCAAAGGAAUCUAUAGACUCAAUGCAAUCCCCAUCAAAAUUCCAAUGACAUUUUUCACAAAAAUAGAAAAAUCAAUCGCCAAAGAUGUAUGGAAUCACUCAAGACUUCCGAAUAGCUGAAGAAAUCUUGAGAAAGAACAAAGCUGGGGGCAUCACACUUCCCGAUUUCAAACUAUUGAGUUGGCCAAAAAGUUCAUUCAGUACCCGCCCCCCGCAAGCACAUAUGGAAACUCAAAUGAACUUUUUGGCCAGAUCAAUGUAUUACACAGUUAUAGUGAUCAAACAGUAUGAUAUUGGCAUAAAAACAGACACACAGAUCAAUGGAACAAAGUUAAAACCCCUGAUAUUAAUCCACACAUUUGUGGUCAAUUAAGUCAUGACAAAGGAGGCAUGAAUAUACAGUCACUUAAUAAAUGGUGUUGGGAAAACUGGACAGCCACAUGCAAAAGAAAGAACCGAACCACUAUCUUAUACCAUACAGAAAAAUCAGCUCAAAUGGAGUGAAGACUUGAACAUAAGACCCAACCAUAAAACUCCUAGAAGAAAACAGCCAGGAAGUUCCUUAACUCAGUCUUGGCAAUGAUUUUUUGGAUUUGGCAACAAAAGCAAAAAUAAAGAAACUAAAAAUCUUCUGAACAGUGAAGGAAAUCAACAAAAAACAAAAGACAACCUACCAAAUGGGAGAAAAUGCAAAUCACUUGUAAGAGGUUAAUAACAUAUAAAGAUAUAAAGACAAUCUUUUUUUCCCCCCAUGCCAUGAAGCAUGCAGGAUCUUAGUUUUCCCAAUUAGGGAUCAAACCCACACACCCUGCAGUGAAGUGUGAAGUCUUAACCACUGGAUUGCCAGGGAAGUCCCCAAAAUAUAUAAAGACAAUCUGACUAAAAAAUGGGCAGAGGAUCUGAAUAGACAUUUUUCAAAAGAUGACAUACAGAUACAUGAAACAGGUGCAUGAAAAGGUACUCAACAUCACUAAUCAUCAGGGGAAUGCAAAUCAAGACCACAAGAGAUAUCACCUCACACCUGUCAGAAUGGCUAUCAUCCAAAAGACAAAAAAUUACAAGGGUUGGCAAGGAUGUAAAGAAAAGGGAACUUUUGUGCAGGUUGGUGGGAAGGUAACUUGGUGUGCCCACUAUGGAAAACACUAUGGAUGUUCCUCAAGGAGUUAAUGACAGAGCUACCAUAUGAUCCAGCAAUUCCACUUCUGGGUAUUUACCCAAAGGAAAUGAAAAACCAUUUGAAAAGAUAUCUGCAAGCCCAUAUUCACGGCAGCUCUAUUUAUAAUAACCAACACAUGGAAGUGACCUAAGCAUCCCCUGACAGAUGAACAGAGAAAAUGUGUAUAUAUAACUAUAUGAUGGAACAUUACUCAGUCAUUAAAAAGAAGAAAAUCUCAGGACUUCCCUGGCAGUCCAGUGAUUAAGACUUCACGCUUCCACUGCAAGCAGCACAGAUUUGGCCCCUGGUUGGGGAACUGCAAGGGCACCGGUUUUGUCCCUGAUUGGGGAACUAAGACCCCAUGUGGUGCAGCCAAAAAAGUAAAUAAAAAUCAUGAAAUCUUGACAUUUGCAACAACGUGGACAGACCAUGGGUGCAUUAUGCUAAGUUAAAUAAGUCAGAGAAAGACAAAUACCGUAUGAUCUCAGUUAUAUGCAGAAUCUAAAAUCAAAAACAAACUGAACUCACUGAUACAGAGAACAGACAGCUCUGAUACAGAGAACAGAUGGGUGGGCAAAAUGGGUGAAGGGAAUAAAAAAUUACAAACUUUCAGUUACAAAUAUAUAAGUCAUGUAUAGAAUCAUGACUAUAGUUAAUAAUGUUAUAUAUUUGAAAGUUGCUGAGAAAGUAGAUCUUAAAAGUUCUCGUGCAAGAAAAAAAAUUUUUGUAACUGUUUGAUGAUAUAUGUUAACUAGACCUAUGGUGGUGAUCUUUUCACAGUAUAUACAAAUACUGUUAUGUUGUACAUCUGAAACUAACAAUGUUGUAUGUCAGUGAUAUCUAAAAAGACAAAAACAAACAGAAAACUUCAGAGAAAUCCAAGCCAUGCCUAUUAGGCCCUUUAAAGCAGCUACACAUCUUCUAAGCAUCCCAAGAGUGUACCUAUAGGUCUCAAGAUUCAGUCUUGAACACAUUUUGAGUGAAAAGACAGAGGUGCACGGCCUUCUGGUUAACAGCAGGGCUUCUAUAAUUUUGAGGGCUUCUGUUUUACUGGAACCUCAUGGAACAGGAGUUAUUUAUUUGAGCAGGGAUUUGAACCCAGGACGGUUUCAGAGUCUAUGCUUCUAAGAGUAUGCUACCAGCCUCUAGAAAUAUUAUCCAACACACUAACUCAUUUCAUCCCCCAAACCCCAGGAGAAAGAUGGUAAUAGCAUGACCAUCUUACAGACAGGGAAAUGGAGGCUCAAGAGGGUGGAGUGUCUGUAUCCACUCACUGUGGCAAGACCAGGACCCAAACUGGCUUUGUGUGACUGCAGAGCCCUGAGCUUUACUAUGGGGAGGCCUCCCUGGGUCCCGCCUGGGCCUGGCC